GACGAACGCUGGCGGCGUGCUUAACACAUGCAAGUCGAACGGUAAGGCCCUUCGGGGUACACGAGUGGCGAACGGGUGAGUAACACGUGGGUGAUCUGCCCUGCACUUCGGGAUAAGCCUGGGAAACUGGGUCUAAUACCGGAAUGGACCACUUCCUGCAUGGGUGGUGGUGGAAAGCUUUUGCGGUGUGGGAUGGGCCCGCGGCCUAUCAGCUUGUUGGUGGGGUGAUGGCCUACCAAGGCGACGACGGGUAGCCGGCCUGAGAGGGUGACCGGCCACACUGGGACUGAGAUACGGCCCAGACUCCUACGGGAGGCAGCAGUGGGGAAUAUUGCACAAUGGGCGCAAGCCUGAUGCAGCGACGCCGCGUGAGGGAUGACGGCCUUCGGGUUGUAAACCUCUUUCAGCACAGACGAAGCGCAAGUGACGGUAGGUGCAGAAGAAGGACCGGCCAACUACGUGCCAGCCGCCGCCGUAA
rnacentral:rRNA from 1 species